GUCAUAUGGUGAAGGGGUCCCUGGCAGCUCUGGAAUGAAGUUCUCAUUCUUAAUAGAAAGAUGCAUCUCUGUACAGUUGAGACAACGCUUGGCUCCUGCAUAGCUCUGCAACUAUGCCUGCGGAUACCUCAUUUUCCAUCAACUGAAAUCUACAGCUGAAAUCCACUGAGCAUGAAGAAGACCCACCUCUGCAAUAAUCCAAUAUGCAGGUGGAGGCCAGGGACUGCUCCUUUUUUUGCUAAACAGCUGUACAAUGAGUCAUCCAUCUUCCAUGGAGAGGUAUACAAGACGGAGUUCCAUCUGUCCUGCAGCCACCUUCUUUUUUCAGAGACGCAGAUUUUUAGACAUACACUGCAAAGAUGCACUAGCAGGAGAUGAAGAAACAGCUACAACCAAUGUCCUAGGUACUGCAUGCGUCUUCAAAGCAAUUACAGGAAUGUCAAAUUUUGUUUAGCACAGAUUCAAGCCA